GACGAACGCUGGCGGCGUGCUUAACACAUGCAAGUCGAGCGAGGUCCAACCGGUGGCAACACUGGGGAAGACCUAGCGGCGAACGGGUGAGUAACACGCGAGCAACCUGCCCCGAAGACUGGGAUAACACCGGGAAACCGGUGCUAAUACCGGAUGCCCUCACCGGGUCGCAUGGACCUGGUGAGGAAAUGAAUUUUGCUUCGGGAGGGGCUCGCGGGCUAUCAGCUUGUUGGUGGGGUAACGGCUCACCAAGGCUACGACGGCUAGCUGGUCUGAGAGGACGAUCAGCCACACUGGGACUGAGACACGGCCCAGACUCCUACGGGAGGCAGCAGUGGGGAAUCUUGCGCAAUGGGCGAAAGCCUGACGCAGCAACGCCGCGUGGGGAUGAAUGCCUUCGGGUU
rnacentral:rRNA from 1 species